UUCUUCGCUCUUUUUCUCUCAUUCAUCAUAGUCCGUUAUUUAUAUUUGUGUGAGAGUAACUUCGAUCAACUUCAAUCAAAGUUAAUUUAUUAAUACCUUAACAAAACUUUCUAACAAAAUCUUUGAUAUAUAAAAAGAAAGAAUGAAUUAAGACGAUAACUUAUAUAUUUAGAAAUUUUAUUAUAGAGAAUCGUGUUAGUGCUGAUCAGGUUGCAGAAAACAAUGAAGAUUAUUGGCAUAUAAGUAUCGUUAUCGAGAUCAAAUUUCCGAUCGCAUUGACGAUAUCGCAGAUAAUCUAUUAAAGUUGAAAACUACAAUUGAUGAAUUAUUGUGGAAAAUAGACUGAGAUAAGGGAAGAGAGCAUAUAUAGGACAAAUAUGACCUUGUUCUUUGUCCGAGAUAAUAAAUAAGAUACGUAACAGAUCUUUAAAAAAGUAAGGAUAUAUUAUACUUAUGAUUUCUUAUAUAUGCAUUUUCACUUUAUAUAAAAUGUCAUAUUGAUGUCAUAUCACAAAAAUCAUAUUGAUUCCAGAUCAAUAUAAUUGUUGCUCGACAACGCUCGAAAUAAAGGGAAAAAGUGAACGAACGAUGAGGCUCGUUAUAAAGCCACGUAUUUCACGUGCGAGAUAUUCUUGUCGAUCAUUUGUGUCGUGUGACGGUUAAAUUUAUUGUUUGUGUUUAUGUCCAUUAAUCGUGUUUGUGUUCACGACGUUGUCUGGCUGGUUAGAAGACCGCGUAAUCUUACUGUCGCCAAAUGCCAAACAAAAGCAGUCGAGCAAAUAAAUAAACUCAAUGAGCGAUUAUUGCGCGCGAUAAGGCGAUCAUUGUGAAUUGUUUUAGGAUAUGCAUCGUUGCAUGUCCACAGGCCAAUUCGAUUUCGUAUUCGCUAUUAUUUUGCAAUUGCAUGCCGCGUCCUUCCACGUGCGAAUAAUUCAUCUGGCUUGAAUGACACCGCUAAACUUCCGACUGCCUCAUCGGAUUUAUUAGCGUGUAAAUUAACAUUGGAUAGAGAAUGACUAUUUUUGCAAUCUCAUUCGAGUGAAAUAAAAAAAAA